UGGCGGACGGGUGAGUAACACGUGAGCAACCUGCCUUUCAGAGGGGGAUAACGGCUGGAAACGGUCGCUAAUACCGCAUGAUGUGUUCGGAUGGCAUCAUUUGAACAUCAAAGAUUUAUCGCUGAAAGAUGGGCUCGCGUCUGAUUAGAUAGUUGGUGGGGUAACGGCCUACCAAGUCUACGAUCAGUAGCCGGACUGAGAGGUUGAACGGCCACAUUGGGACUGAGAUACGGCCCAGACUCCUACGGGAGGCAGCAGUGGGGAAUAUUGCACAAUGGGGGAAACCCUGAUGCAGCAACGCCGCGUGAAGGAUGACGGUUUUCGGAUUGUAAACUUCUUUUCUUA
rnacentral:rRNA from 1 species